AGCGAUUACAUAAAUCCAUUGGCUUUCGCCGCACAGAAUGACACUGAAAGUAUAAUUAUUCGGUCGUAAAAUAUUCUCUCGUAAAUAAUUAAGAAUCUUUUUAGCGCAGUUGAUUGGAAAAUAAUAACUUGUAUCUUAGAAGCAUUCCCCACGCGAACGGUGGAUAAUAUAUAUAAGUAGAUGAUUACAUGCGAGUCUAAACUAUAGAACGCAGGCGGGCAGCAAGUAGGAGAAGAAAAAAGAAAAAUAUUACAAUAACUGCAAUUCCACCUAAAAGCUAAGCAUAAUAAUUGCCUGGCCUCCGUAGUAGCUUCAAGGUUUUCUUACUUACAAAGGCAGUUGAAUUGAUCUUCAUUUCAUUUAGUUUAAAAAAGACAAUCUUGCGGCUUCUUUCCGAACAAGCUUCGAUAAUAACUUCCGAAGAGAAACACCUUAUACUGCUGCUCCGGCUUGUUAUGCUUUCGGCUCGCUUCUCUAUGUGUUCCUACAUUUCGCAAGUCUCUGGGUCCUCUCUACGCGCAGUUCGAUAGCAGCAGACUCGUCCCUCAACCCGAUAAAGUUCUCUUUGAAUCUUAUUUACGUAUGUUUGGGUAAACGGCAAUAUUAAAAAAAGACAUCCAUAUAAAUUGUAUGGCUGCGUCGAAUCGUCCAGCUAUGCGGUAAACUAUCGAAAUUUAUUUGAAAAAGAAAAAAAGUCACUUUCAAAGAAAAGCAAAGAAGGAAAAGUCGAUUGACAUAAACCAAAAAUUUUAAAAUUAUUUACAUAAACAAUUUCUUGCAAAUAAAGAGAAAGCACUGCUACAGUGGAAAAAGGUGGAAAACAAACCUUACUCCUGGAAAUUAUUGUCUUCCAAAUAAACAGCAUCAGCAACCACCACAAGACAAAUAUAAACGCCAUAAAUAUCACUAAGAAGAGAACACUCAAGAAUGCCAAGCCGACGACUUCACUCUUCAUUACUGAUCUUUACACUAAUAACUGGCGAAACAGGAAUCGUAAAUGUAAAGUAAUUAAACGAA